rnacentral:rRNA from 1 species
ACAGCGAUAAGGGAACCUCGAGUGCCAGGUUACAAAUCUGGCUGUCGAGAUGCCUAAAAAGCAUUUCAUAGCAAGGGCCGGGCAAGACCGGUGCCAGCCGCCGCGGUAACACCGGCGGCUCGAGUGGUAACCGUUAUUAUUGGGUCUAAAGGGUCUGUAGCCGGCCGGAUAAGUCUCUUGAGAAAUCUGGCAGCUUAACUGUCAGGCUUUCAGGAGAUACUGUCUGGCUCGAGGCCGGGAGAGGUGAGAGGUACUUCAGGGGUAGGGGUGAAAUCUUGUAAUCCUUGAAGGACCACCAGUGGCGAAGGCGUCUCACCAGAACGGACCUGACGGCAAGGGACGAAAGCUAGGGGCACGAACCGGAUUAGAUACCCGGGUAGUCCUAGCCGUAAACGAUACUCGCUAGGUGUCGGCCACGGUGCGACCGUUGUCGGUGCCGUAGGGAAGCCG